AUUGAGGGCAUGCUCGGUUGCGGGAAGUGUCGAACCUUCCGUAUAUGAUAGGGAUGGGACAGAAGGAGAGCGCGCGGGACACUGGCUCAUCUUUUUCCAGGGUCGUUCUAGGGUGGCAGGGCCCACCAGGGACGGCCUUUGCGCAUGCGCUGUUAGGGCCAGCCUUUGCGCUGGAGGAAGGGCCUGGUAUCUGUUGUCUCCUCUUAGAACCCUACUGAGCAGACAGCGCCCAAAGGCCUGCGUUCCGAGCUGACCACCACAAUACCACAGCCACGAUUUGGUGACAGACACACUUCUCAAUGAUUUGCAUGGCUAGCUCAUCCGGACGACAACGUAUGGCUAGGUCCUCCUUGUCCUUUGGGAGAAAUCUGAGACAGAGUUGUCCAUCCUGGCGGCUCUUCAGGAUUUUUCGGAAGAGGUUUUCCAAAAUGGUUGGUUGUGUGCAGGGUGCAUGCAGGUUCCAUCCCCAGGACUACAAAAACAAGAAUAUACAUAGCACAUGCAUAUUGCAUAAACUUUUCAUAGGACUUCAAGAUAAAGUCUAUGGAAAAUACGUUGGGUUAAGACCAAUUCCUGAAGGCGUUUUUAUACUAAUAGCAUUGUAAGCAUAAGGCUACAAGUAGUAAAAUGAUAAACGAGCCCAGAGGUUAUCCCUACAAAUUGAGGGGGCCUCCUUAUAUAUGUGUUUCUGCGUUCUCUGGUUCUUGGUGUGCU
rnacentral:lncRNA from 1 species